GCAGUCAUGUCCGAGUGGUUAAGGAGUUUGAUUAGAAGUCAAAUGGGCUUUGCCCGCGCAGGUUCGAAUCCUGCUGACUGCG
rnacentral:tRNA from 1 species